ACCCCGCCUAUGCUGGCCCGCAGGUUUCCCCAGGGCUUGCUGUUGGGUGGGGCCAGUCCCUAGGGCAGGCUGCCUGCCCUGGCUGAGCUGGAUUAAAUCAGUGCUCUGGUGGGUGGGGCACACCCUGUGCUAACAGACCAGGGGAAGAACUCCCAUGGUGUCUGCCAGCAUCUGUGUCAGCGUGCCUGUACUUGGUCACAAUAAUGGCUGCCACCCAUGUCUCAGUCCCUGGAGAGCUCUCACCGAGAUGCACCCAGAGCUUAUCAGGCUGCCUCCAUGUAGAGCUCCGCAGAAGCAAAUCCUUUGGAUCUGAAGAAACUGGAGAGGCUCAAAGAAGUGGAGACGGCACUGGGCUGGGCUUCAGAGCUCCGAGUGGCUUGAUUCUGCCUCACUUCCUGUGCGGCGUUAGAGGAUUUUCCCAAUUGUGAAGCAGAGGGGCGGAGCUGUAACAGGGAAGCUUUGGGGCCAGCAGAAAGUGCUCUGGUUCCUCUCUGGCCCUCGGGACCGUGGGGCUGGGAGGCAGGUGGCGCAGCUCCUCUCCAGAUAGAGCACAGCAGCAUCCCUGUAUCCCUCCCUCAGGCAGCCUGCAGCACCUUCUCGCCUUCAUUUUCUGUGCAUGCCCAUCAGUGUAGUAAAUCCUGAGAGCUUCUGCUUUUUUUUUUUUUUAAGCAAAAUAGAAUCAGAGCCUUUUGUGUUUGAAAGCCGUGUCCAUAAAUCAGUGCUCCUUGAAUGAAAAGACGUGUGUGGACCCACGAAGACAGGGCUUUGAAUUAUUUAUCAAGAACUGAUGCUACUUGGAGCCUCAGGCACACUCAGCCCUACAAAGAAACUGAGCAGCUUCUCAAGAUUUUUUUGUGGCCCUGACGGAUGAUGACAUGGGUUAAGAAACAUACACGGGGCCCCAUACCAUUUGGUCCCUACCCUGUUCUCCAGCUCCCGAAUGCCCUAAGCUGCAGCCACAUCCAGGGACUCACAGAUUCCCGGAUGCAUCAUGCUUUGCACAUACUGUUCCCUCCCCUUGGACGUCCUUUUCCACUUAUCCACCCUGCAAACUCCUAUGUGUCUGUUAAGAGCCAGCCUAAAAAUCCCCUUCUUUCAGGAAUGUUUCCCUCCUUCUCCUGUCCGGGUUAGUAGCUGGCUGGAUAUCAAAUACUUCAAGGGCAGAGUUAGUUAUGUUCGCUUAUCUAGCCAUAAAACCAUGUCAGGCACAUAGCCAGAGUUUGGGAUUGUUAAGUGAGGGAAUGGUGUGAUGUGAGUGGAGUCAGCUGUUCUCGGUCAGCACGAUAUGUCUGGCACAUGAUGCUUAUUUAAUUUCCAGCUCAAUGUGUCUAAUAUUCCCGUGAGGGGCUCGGAUGAAGACGCCAGGGACGAAUGCUUUUCCCGACUGCAGGUAAUGCAAACCUGGAAAUGAUAGCAAACACUUUGAAUGAUGAUUCAGUGUUUGAAACGAUCUUGAUAGGUUGGCAGAAUUGUCUACAAUUAACAAGAUGACCCUGAACACGGAUACAUUUAAAGUGUUACUAAUAUAAAGGUCUGAAUUGAUGACAUUCCGUGGGUCAGCGAUUUGGGCCAUGCUUAGCACGAUGGCUCCUCCGUUGGGCCAGGCUCUCUCAUCAGCUGCUGGGCCCGCUGGGGUUGAGUGGUUUGGGACAUCUUUGCUGAGAUGGCUGGGAUGACUGGGGACUCUCCCCAGGGUUGUCAUCCUCCAGCGGGCUGGCCUGGGCUUGCUCACAUUAGUGGUCUCAGGGUUCCAGGAGCAGAAAGAGAGGACAAGCCCCAGGGCACAAACACUUCUCCAGUGUCUUCUCACUGCACAUUUGCUAUCCUCCCAUUGGCCAGAGCAAGGCACAUGGCGAGCUGAGAAUCAGGUCGGGGAAGAUAACUCCAUGGGGUGGAUACAAGGAACGAACGAAUUUGGAGCCGUAAAUGCAACAAUUUACCACAGCGAGGAGAACUGAUGUUGGGAGAUAGCCAUGAUUUCUACAGAGGAUGCAAAUGGAAAGCAGGAUUCUAGAGAAAGCACAGGAUGUGGGGGUCCUUUGAUUCCAACACAACAGGGGCUAAAUAAGACAUACAGGAAGAAAUGCUCUGAUGCAGUAUAACAUCUGGAGAGGGGAAGGGUUAAUUAAGCCCAUUAAGGGGCGAGAAAAGGAUUUCCAUUUAAGGAACAAGGGAACCUAAUACCUGUUCGGCUUUUAAUCAGUGCCAGGCUCUGGACCAGGCAUGUUGCAUGCGUUGUCUCAUUUAAUCCUUACAGUUGCAGGUGAGGAAACAGGCUCAGAGAGGUUAAGCAACUUGUCCAAGGUCAUACAGUGAGUGAGUGUGGAUUCGAGCCCAAUUCUCUCCGGCUCCCAGGCCUGAAAGAACCAGAAUUUGGCUGAAGCAGGAUGGCAGCGAAGGAGGAGAGGAACGGAGUAAAGGAGUGCUGAACUGCAGGAGUUUGUAGCAUCGACUCACCUCGGUGUUGGGGCAGAAUGAGCCUGGGUGAAGAUGUCUCCUGCCAGCUUGGAGUCCUGGACCGUGAGGUGGUGAUCACGUUUCUGCUCUAGACCUCCUGCCCCGCAGCAUCGGGCAGAGUAAUGAUACCUUGCACUGAGGGGGUGCAUCUUGUGCGCCAGGUGCUGUGCUGAAGGCUUCCUAGCCGUCAUCUCAGUCUCCACCACAGUCCCAACGUGGGAGGUGCUCUAUCAGCCCCAUUCUACGCGCAGGACCACUGCAGUCAGAGAAUUAAGUAGCACGUUCAUGUUCACAAAGUGAGUGGACGAGCAGGGCUUGAAGGCAGGGCUGUGGGGCCCGAAGUUCCUGCUCUGAAAUGCUUGGCCGUGCUGCCUCGUGGAGGGAGCAUGUGUGCCAAAGGUAAGGGUGGUGGGAGGUGGAGGGUCUGGAUGUGGUGACCCUCAUGGUGAGGAGUUUGAAACGUCACCAUCAUAAACAUAUGAGGGCUUAUUACUACUGACCAAGGAUGGGACUGUUUUAUAUUUUAAAUUAACCCUCAAAAGUGCUUGGGGAUAGAUACUAUUAGUUUGCCCAUUUUAGAGAUGAAGAAACUGAGGGUCAGAGAGGUAAAUUUGUUUGCUGAGAACCACACCACACCACGAACCAGUUCCAGAGCCACAGGCCAACCUGUUCCUGGCUGACCUCAGCCCACGCUGGCCCAAUGCGCUAUCCACGACUGCGUUAUCAUCAAACUGUGGCCCCUCCUGGCUGAGUCCGACAGUUACACCCAGAUGCCCUUCACGUGUGCAUAGGAGGGGCGAGGACCCAGACCUCCAAGGACUAGGGACUCAGCCCAGCUUGAGCAGGCCAGAGGCAGUCCCUCUGCAGGAGGGGCAGGUGAGCUCCCGACCUCCCCAUUCUGGGAGGCGAGCUCCUACGAGCUUGGACAAACCGGAUCAGGUCCUGUGCACGGACUUUUCUGCUUUUCACACCGUACUAUAAACCUCCCAACGCUGUGCAGCCAGACAGGCAGGAGUCGAGCAAGAAGCGUGUCCUCCUUCUGAAUCAAACAUUUCCCAUAAACCUGUUUUCUCCCCAAAGUCAUCAAUAACAAUCUUCAUGCCGGCAGCAUCUGCUAACGAUUUAUUCUUACACAGGUAGUAUAACAUUUUCGUAUACACGACAUUUUUCAUCCCAGGUUGAGUUAAUUACAAAUGACGCACAAGCAAGAAGCAUUUCCUCCAGCGAUCUGCUGCAAACAAUGGCGCAUUGUUCUCCCCUCCGCCGGAAGCGAGAAUUUGCAGUCUUUCUCCAGCUUCCACAGCCCUCCCUCAUUUAUCACCAUUGCUCUAAAUGAGUCUCAUAAACCAAUAGAAAAGGCCUCUGAAACAUUGGACUCAGUAGCUUCUUCCUGCUAAAAGCAGGUUCUAAAAAUAUGUGGGCCCUUGAAAACUGAGUCCUAGAUUUUCACUGAAUGGACGAAGAACCACAGGCGUCUCUCUCACCACCUGUGUCCAUAUGAUGUACAAGAAAUCGUGGGGUCUCGGACGUGACUGAGGGACCUUAAAGUCCAUUUAGUCAAUAACAGAAUGCUGCCAGCGGCAGCAGGGCUGCACCGAGCACAGCUCUCCAAAUUGGUGCAUUUUCCACAAUUUUAAGGUAAUAAAAUUGUAAUAACUAAUAGUGAAUGUUUAUAUAGUUCUACUGUGUGCCAGGCUCUGUCCUAAGUCAUAUAUAUAUAUUACACAGCAUCCUCACAAUCGUUCUGAAGUGUUACUGUUAGUAUUCCCAUUUUACAGAUGAGGAAACUGAGGCACGGAUUGCUAAGUCACUUGUUCAACAUCAUGUAGCUGAGAAGGGGUUGAGUCAGGAUUCAAAUCCAGGUGAUCUGGCUCUAGUCUGAGCUCUUAACCACUCUGCUAUCCAGCCUUUCUGUAGCGUGUAACCUAUUUACUUUCAUAUGUCAACGAUGAUGGUUCUGAAGACCAUACAGAAGAGAUGUUGAGUGCAGUGGUGUGAACAAAGACCAUGAGUUUUGUAGAAAAGGCAAUCUCUCUGUCCUCACCAAACAAUGGGAACUGCCUCUCUCCUUCCCCAGUGGAAUCACCUCCCUCAGCUCUGCCUCUGGGAGGGGUCCUGGUGGAGGGGAUAUUCUUGCCACAGACCCUGAGAGGGGAGCAAUAACUGCUCUAUGAGGUAUUUCACACUCUAGUCCUGCUAACCUCCCUUUUCUGGUGAGGAAGCCAAGGAAUAAAGAGGUUAAGUGAUUGUUCCAAGGCCUCACAGUGAAGCGAUGAUGGAAUUGGGGUCCGAAGCCAGUUCUUUUGCGUAUGUGCUAUUUAACAAUCAUUGUAUUUGGAGCUGGCAAAAUAGCUAAUAAAGGCUGACAUUUGCUGAAAACUCACUAUGUCCUUACUGUGUAUAGUAGAUUAACUUAUUGUUCAUCACUCAUUCCUUUGUCCUCUAUCU
ensembl:lncRNA